rnacentral:rRNA from 1 species
UGGGGAAUAUUGGACAAUGGGCGCAAGCCUGAUCCAGCCAUGCCGCGUGUGUGAAGAAGGCCUUCGGGUUGUAAAGCACUUUUGUUGGGGAAGAAAAGCGUUGGGCUAAUAUCCCGGCGUUCUGACGGUACCCAAAGAAUAAGCACCGGCUAACUUCGUGCCAGCAGCCGCGGUAAUACGAAGGGUGCAAGCGUUACUCGGAAUUACUGGGCGUAAAGCGUGCGUAGGUGGUUUGUUAAGUCUGAUGUGAAAGCCCUGGGCUCAACCUGGGAACUGCAUUGGAAACUGGCUUACUAGAGUGCGGUAGAGGGUGGCGGAAUUCCCGGUGUAGCAGUGAAAUGCGUAGAUAUCGGGAGGAACAUCCGUGGCGAAGGCGGCCACCUGGACCAGCACUGACACUGAGGCACGAAAGCGUGGGGAGCAAACAGG